rnacentral:rRNA from 1 species
UACGGGAGGCAGCAGUGAGGAAUUUUGCGCAAUGGCCGCAAGGCUGACGCAGCAACGCCGCGUGGGUGAUGAAGGCCUUCGGGUCGUAAAGCCCUGUCAGGUGGGAAGAAAGGCCUGGAGAGGAAAGGUUUCAGGUUUGACGGUACCACCAGAGGAAGCACCGGCUAACUCCGUGCCAGCAGCCGCGGUAAUACGGAGGGUGCGAGCGUUAUUCGGAAUUACUGGGCGUAAAGCGCGUGUAGGCGGGGGGACAAGUCUGAUGUGAAAGCCCUGGGCUUAACCUGGGAAGCGCAUUGGAAACUGUUUUUCUUGAGUACUGGAGAGGAAGGGGGAAUUCCCGGUGUAGAGGUGAAAUUCGUAGAGAUCGGGAGGAAUACCAGUGGCGUAGGCGCCCUUCUGGACGGUAACUGACGCUGAGACGCGAAAGCGUGGGGAGCAAACAGGAUUAGAUACCCUG